rnacentral:rRNA from 1 species
CCAAGGAGUCUAACAUGUGUGCGAGUCGUAGGGAAGUUCUCGGACGAAACCCGAAGGCGUAAUGAAAGUGAAGGUCGGCACAUCGUCGACCAAGGCGGGAUCCGUUCGGGCUUACGGUUCGGCCGAGCCUGGCGGCGCACCGCCGGCCCGUCUCGACCACAACGCUGGUGAGGCGGAGCAAGAGCAUACACGUUGGGACCCGAAAGAUGGUGAACUAUGCCCGGGCAGGACGAAGCCAGAGGAAACUCUGGUGGAGGUCCGUAGCGAUUCUGACGUGCAAAUCGAUCGUCGGACCUGGGUAUAGGGGCGAAAGACUAAUCGAACCGUCUAGUAGCUGGUUCCCUCCGAAGUUUCCCUCAGGAUAGCUGGCGCUCGGAUGUAACGCAGUCUCAUCCGGUAAAGCGAAUGAUUAGAGGCCUUGGGGCCGAAACGACCUCAACCUAUUCUCAAACUUUCAAUGGGUGAGAAGUCCGGCUUGCUCGACUGAAGCCCGGACGUCGGAUGCGAGUGCCCAGUGGGCCACUUUUGGUAAGCAGAACUGGCGCUGUGGGAUGAACCAAACGCCGGGUUACGGCGCCCGAUGCGGACGCUCAUCAGACCCCAUGAAAGGUGUUGGUUGCUAUUGACAGCAGGACGGUGGCCAUGGAAGUCGGAA